AACUGUGUGCGGUGGAUCACUUGGCUCGUGCGUCGAUGAAGAGUACAGCCAA
rnacentral:rRNA from 1 species